AACGGUUUAAGAAUCCAGUGUGGCAUGAGAACAGAGGCGCACGUGGACGUCAUGGAUCUGAGCCCCUUUGAUUAAAUCAAGCGGCUGUGAUUUAAAAAUCACAAAACAGAUCUCAGUCGCUGGAUUAAUCUAACAGUCAUGUUUUAAAAUAAAUAAACAACCAAUACAGGGGUGACACGUAGCCACCCCACCAAACAUCUUCUUCUUCCUCGUGAAAUAGUAACAAGGAACGGCCAUGGAAGAGCUUGAAGGAGCUCGCGGCCAACAACAACAUACGUCAAAACAACACCAAAAAUUACAAAUGAGUAUAUGAUUUUGCUCUAAAUUUCACAUAGAUCAUGAAUAUAAACUUAGACUUUUCAAAAGAUGUUUGCAUCUUAAAAAAGUUCGAAACUUUAAAACCCAAAAAAACUUUAAAUUUCACAUUUGUACGAUUUAAGCGAAAUCAAGGGUCGGAAAAGCUUCAUAUGAUAUUCAGGAGUAAAAAGCGUUUAGAAUCUUACUUGUUUUGAGCUUUGUAUCAGUGGGUGUGUUAACCCCUUUUUCUUGGCAAUUUUGGAGUUUUG
rnacentral:lncRNA from 1 species